rnacentral:rRNA from 1 species
GACGAACGCUGGCGGCGUGCUUAACACAUGCAAGUCGAACGAAGAGCGAUGGAAGCUUGCUUCUAUCAAUCUUAGUGGCGAACGGGUGAGUAACGCGUAAUCAACCUGCCCUUCAGAGGGGGACAACAGUUGGAAACGACUGCUAAUACCGCAUACGAUCUAAUCUCGGCAUCGAGGAUAGAUGAAAGGUGGCCUCUACAUGUAAGCUAUCACUGAAGGAGGGGAUUGCGUCUGAUUAGCUAGUUGGAGGGGUAACGGCCCACCAAGGCGAUGAUCAGUAGCCGGUCUGAGAGGAUGAACGGCCACAUUGGGACUGAGACACGGCCCAGACUCCUACGGGAGGCAGCAGUGGGGAAUCUUCCGCAAUGGACGAAAGUCUGACGGAGCAACGCCGCGUGAGUGAUGACGGCCUUCGGGUUGUAAAGCUCUGUUAAUCGGGACGAAAGGCCUUCUUGCGAAUAGUGAGAAGGAUUGACGGUACCGGAAUA